GUCUUUUUGAUUAUAAUUUAAAGUCUAACCUGCCCACUGAAAUUUUUGAAGGGCCGCGGUAUUUUGACUGUGCAAAGGUAGCAUAAUCAUUAGUCUUUUAAUUGGAGGCUUGUAUGAAUGGUUGGAUGAGGUAUUAACUGUCUCAAUUUAAUAAAUAAAAGAAUUUUAUUUUUAAGUUAAAAAGCUUAAAUGAAAUUAAAAGACGAGAAGACCCUAUAGAUCUUUAUAAUUAAUUUUAUAAUAAUUUUUUAGAUAAAAUUUAUUUUUAUAAAAUAAAUUAUUGUAUUGGGGUGAUAAAAAAAUUUAUAAAACUUUUUUUGUAAAAAAAAACAAUUAUAUUUGAUUAAUUGAUCCAUUUUUUGUGAUUAUAAGAUUAAGUUACCUUAGGGAUAACAGCGUAAUUUUUUUGGAGAGUUCUUAUCGAUAAAAAAGAUUGCGACCUCGAUGUUGAAUUAAAGGUUAAUUUUAGGUGUAGAAGUUUAAAAUUUUGGUCUGUUCGACCAUUAAAUC
rnacentral:rRNA from 1 species